rnacentral:rRNA from 1 species
AUUGAACGCUGGCGGAAUGCUUUACACACGCAAGUCGAACGGCAGCACGGACUUCGGUCUGGUGGCGAGUGGCGAACGGGUGAGUAAUGUAUCGGAACGUGCCCAGUCGUGGGGGAUAACGUAGUGAAAAUUACGCUAAUACCGCAUACGAUCUAUGGAUGAAAGCGGGGGAUCGCAAGACCUCGCGCGAUUGGAGCGGCCGAUAUCAGAUUAGGUAGUUGGUGGGGUAAAGGCCCACCAAGCCAACGAUCUGUAGCUGGUCUGAGAGGACGACCAGCCACACUGGAACUGAGACACGGUCCAGACUCCUACGGGAGGCAGCAGUGGGGAAUUUUGGACAAUGGGCGAAAGCCUGAUCCAGCCAUUCCGCGUGCAGGAUGAAGGCCCUCGGGUUGUAAACUGCUUUUGUACAGAACGAAAAGGUUUCUACUAAUACUAGGAGCUCAUGACGGUACUGUAAGAAUAAGCACCGGCUAACUACGUGCCAGCAGCCGCAGUUAA